rnacentral:tRNA from 1 species
GGGGAUUUAGCUCAGUGACAUAAGCGCCUGCCUUGCAAGCAGGCAGUUGUGAGUUCAAUCCCUG